rnacentral:rRNA from 1 species
AUUGAACGCUGGCGGCGUGCUUAACACAUGCAAGUCGUGCGGUAACAGGCGUAGCAAUACGUGCUGACGAGCGGCGAACGGGUGCGUAAUACAUGGGAAUCUGCCCUUUAGUGGGGAAUAACCCGGCGAAAGCCGGGCUAAUGCCGCAUAAGAUCUUCGGAUGAAAGCGGGGGAUCGUAAGACCUCGCGCUGAUGGAUGAGCCCAUGUCGGAUUAGCUAGUGGUGAGGUAACGGCUCACCAAGGCGACGAUCCGUAGCUGGUCUGAGAGGACGGCCAGCCACACUGGGACUGAGACACGGCCCAGACUCCUACGGGAGGCAGCAGUGGGGAAUAUUGGACAAUGGGCGAAAGCCUGAUCCAGCGACGCCGCGUGUGUGAAGAAGGCCUGCGGGUUGUAAAGCACUUUCGAUGGGAACGAAUGUGCCGGGCUAAUAUCCGGCAAGCUGACGUUACUCAAUGAAGAAGCACCGGCU